rnacentral:piRNA from 1 species
UUGAUUAGAUGAAUAUGGUGAUGUG